rnacentral:ncRNA from 2 species
UUAACGUAUCUGGGGUGCCGCAAUGGCUGAGAUCAUACCCACCGAACCUGCUCUGGUUAAAACCUGCGAAGGAAGAUACAGUCCUUAAUGA